rnacentral:rRNA from 1 species
GACGAACGCUGGCGGCGUGCCUAAUACAUGCAAGUAGAACGCUGAAGGAGGAGCUUGCUUCUCUGGAUGAGUUGCGAACGGGUGAGUAACGCGUAGGUAACCUGCCUGGUAGCGGGGGAUAACUAUUGGAAACGAUAGCUAAUACCGCAUAAGAGUAGAUGUCGCAUGACAUUUGCUUAAAAGGUGCAAUUGCAUCACUACCAGAUGGACCUGCGUUGUAUUAGCUAGUUGGUGAGGUAACGGCUCACCAAGGCAACGAUACAUAGCCGACCUGAGAGGGUGAUCGGCCACACUGGGACUGAGACACGGCCCAGACUCCUACGGGAGGCAGCAGUAGGGAAUCUUCGGCAAUGGACGGAAUUCUGACCGAGCAACGCCGCGUGAGUGAAGAAGGUUUUCGGAUCGUAAAGCUCUGUUGUAAGAGAAGAACGAGUGUGAGAGUGGAAAGUUCACACUGUGACGGUAUCUUACCAGAAAGGGACGGCUAACUACGUG